UACUCCUACCGGGAGGCAGCAGUGGGGAAUAUUGGACAAUGGGCGAAAGCCUGAUCCAGCCAUGCCGCGUGUGUGAAGAAGGCUUUCGGGUUGUAAAGCACUUUCAGCGAGGAAGAAAGCCUCUGGGCCAAUACCCCAGAGGAAGGACAUCACUCGCAGAAGAAGCACCGGCUAACUCCGUGCCAGCAGCCGCGGUAAUACGGAGGGUGCGAGCGUUAAUCGGAAUUACUGGGCGUAAAGCGCGCGUAGGUGGCUUGGCACGCCGGUUGUGAAAGCCCCGGGCUCAACCUGGGAACUGCAUCCGGAACGGCCAGGCUAGAGUGCAGGAGAGGAAGGUAGAAUUCCCGGUGUAGCGGUGAAAUGCGUAGAGAUCGGGAGGAAUACCAGUGGCGAAGGCGGCCUUCUGGCCUGACACUGACACUGAGGUGCGAAAGCGUGGGUAGCAAACAGGAUUAGAUACCCUGGUAGUCCACGCCGUAAACGAUGUCGACUAGCCGUUGGGACCUUUAAGGACUUAGUGGCGCAGUUAACGCGAUAAGUCGACCGCCUGGGGAGUACGGCCGCAAGGUUAAAACUCAAAUGAAUUGACGGGGGCCCGCACAAGCGGUGGAGCAUGUGGUUUAAUUCGAUGCAACGCGAAGAACCUUACCUACCCUUGACAUCCAGAGAAGUUGGCAGAGAUGCCUUCGUGCCUUCGGGAGCUCUGAGACAGGUGCUGCAUGGCUGUCG
rnacentral:rRNA from 1 species